rnacentral:misc_RNA from 1 species
GGAUAGUAAUCGAAGUAGUUCUGAGAGGGAACAUUUUCUGAAAGAUGGGUCAUUAUCUCAAAUAAGCAAGAUGAAUUCUUUGAAAGAUGCAGUUUCUGAAAAGGAUGGAGUUCAAAGUGACAACAAGGUGAUUAGGCAAAUAAAGAGGGACAAGACAGGUGAGAAACCUUUAAGAAACCCUGUAUCCACUUCAAAUAAACCUGAUUUGACAGUGAACACAAAGAAAAACUGUGCCAAACCAAAGACUGUACAUAAUUCAAAUAUCAAAGGCACUUGGAAAAAGAAAAAGGACUCUGCUACUUGUGUCAGUGAGAGAGAACCUGUUGCAUUUGACUCAGUUCAAAGAGGAGGGUCAUUGUCCCCAACACUGUUUGUCACAUCAACAGAAUCAAAAUCUGGAAAGCCUAAACAAAAAGGCCUAUCAGCACGUGAUCCAAGAAAUAUUAGAAUGGAAAGGGUUCCUAGCAGAGUGACAAUAAGCAGUGUCUCAGCAAGUCAAAAGAAAGUCACUGAAAUUAAAUCUGUUAAAUCUGUGUGUGAAGAUCCAAAAGAAAAAACCAAGGCAAUGAAGAAAACAUCUCCUUCAAGCCUGAAGAAAACUGAAAUGCAAAGUGCAAAAAUCAGCCUAAGACCCAAAGAACAAGUGGGAAGUAAAGUUUCAAGCUCAAAUAUACCUCAGCAUGAGCGAAGUUGUUCUAACUCACCACGGUCAUCUGUUGUGGAUGAUGAUACAGAUAGUGUUGUAAGUUUUAGUUCAGCCACUUCCAAAACAAACAAACCUACUUCAAAACUGCCAAGGGCUUCAAGAUUGCCAAGCACUACUCAUGAUAAAGGCAAAGGGCCUACUAAGGGUGGUAUACCUACUGAUAAAACAGAGAAAUCAGCAAAGACUGGCACUACUUUAUUGACAUUGUCAGGUGUUGCACUGAAGAAAGCAGAAACAUCAAAAAGAAAUAUUCGUCCUAAGAAAGACAAUUGCAGUGAAAAUAUUCUGAACUACAAGGAUGCUGUCUGUGAUGUCCAAAGUGAUUCCAAGCCAACAUUGAAGAAGAAGAGCUUGAAAGAAAACAUAAAUCGCAAACAACGUGAGUUGUCACCCUUGGCUGCUGAUACAGAUUGUAGUGAGUACAGCAUUUUAGAAGAAGUCAUUCCAAGCAUCAGUGACUAUGACACAGAUAAAAUGGAUGACAGUGAUCAAUGUUCACAGGGACCAGGAACCAAAACAAUGGAUAAGCCAGAUUCAUGUCCAGCCAGUGACCAGUCAACUGUUGCAUCUAAGAAGUUGAAAACUAAACCAAAGUCACUGACAUCAACUAAAGGUGAGUUGAGGAGAAGCACACAGGUAAAAUUCUAUUCAAAGAAAACAUCUCCAUCUUCACCACGAAUAAACUCCAAAACAUCGCCAGGAUCCCCAAAGUCUGACUGUAAGAAAUCCCCAAUAUCUCCUGCUCAGUCAGUAAAAUGUGGGAUGGAUGCAAGUGCCAGUGGCGCAAGAACUGAUGUUAAGACGUUGAAAACUACUGCAUCUAAAUUACCAAAGAAAUCUGGAUUGAAGAAAUCACAUACCGAUGUUUCAAAUUCUCGGUCAUUGUUAGCCCUAGAACAGAGAUAUACAGCUGAAAGACUGGAGUUGAUGAGACUUAAGAUACCAGCUGAAAUGGACUUGAGUGAUGUGAGUCGACCUUCGACACGAGAAGGAUCUGUGGAUAGUAGAUUUGAUGAUGACCGAUGGUCAAUAUGUUCAGAUAUAUCCAGUGUGUCAAGAGCAUCUUCAGUUAGUAAAAGUAACAAGACUCAAACCUCAGGUUCCAAUGUUUCAAGAAUUACUAUCCCAAGUUCAAGGAUCAAACCUGCUAGUGCACGACUUCCCUCAAAGGCUCAUACUGCAGUAGGUAAAUCUUCCCAGCUCACAAAACAGCAAAGGCUGAAAGGAAAAAGUGCAGCAGAUACCUGUAGUUCAAGUGAAACAGUCAAAAACAAAGUUGGAAGUAACCAUAAAAGCCCUACCGUGCAAAACCUACAGAGAAAUAAAUAUACCAAAUAUGACAGAACACCUUUAAAUUCUGAAGUGACAGAAAACAGUAGGAUGCACAUAGAUUUGGUCCCCUGUCAUUCAGCAGCUGAAAAUCUAGGUAAUGGCAGUACGCUUGAAAUGAACUUACCUGACAGUGUAAAUGAAUUUGGAUACAGCAGUUUACUUGAAGAUGAAAGUUCGGUCUCAGUUAAGGCCAGUGUGCCUUUAAUUGUAGAUAGCUGUGAGUCUCAUGGUGAGAACACUAAUGUUGGAAGUGGUGCUUUAAAAACUAGUAAUGAUACAGAGGAAAUUAUGAGUGACAGUACUUUUCCAGCUGACUCAAAACAAGACCGUUUUUCAGAGCACGUUAAUGUAAACCACACAGCUAACAUUAGUAAACACAGGUUCCAUUCACAGAAAGAAACUGAUACCAAUAGGAAUGCAGAAGUUGAAAAUGAGGGUCAACAUGGAGCCCUAUCUCCUUCCUACCAGAUGAAAACAAGCGUUGUAAAUGAGGGGCAAGAAGAGUUCCCUGUGGCACAUAUGAGAACUGAGGAAAAUUUGAAAUACAUCUCACUUGCAUCCACAUUGUCAGAUAGACAGAUGUCAAAAGAUUCAGAUGGGUCAAUUGAAGCACCUUCAGAAAUGGUAAACCUGAGCUGCUAUCAGGCGGAUAGUUUAUUGUCUGAGAUGACAGGAGAGGGGGAAUAUCUAUCAUCUAAGGCAGCUGGUCAAGGGAAACAGGAACCUGAAGUGAGUGGAGAGAUGGCCUUGGCUGUGCAUAGUCAGCUCAUGAAGCCCUGCAGCCUAUCUUCCCAUGUUGAUAGGGCCUCAGUGGAUGGAAGUUUCUCUGAUAACAUAAACAGGCACAACCUGACCUCAGAAAAUACCAAUAAUAAACAUUUACAUCAGAGAGAGGGAGGGCUUGGCUACUUCUUUCCCCACCCAACAAAAUUCAGUUCAACCUCUAAAAUUGUAGAUUCUGUUUUUGAAAAUCCUGACACUGAGACAGCUGCUGUGAUUGAAGUCUCAGAAGAUACAGGUAGCUUCCUUGGGGCGUGUGACGGCAAGCUCUUGAAAUUAUCUCAGGUUAAAGAAAUUAAGGCUGAAGGGAGGGAAGAUAUCAAAAUUGUGGUGCCAAUGGCAGUCCAAGCAACAGAAGAUGCAGGCUUCUCUUUAACCAAGGAAUUCAUGGGGUAUGAUAAAAAUGGAGAGGACUCUGAAAGGCAGUUUGAUAGAAGUGAUAAAAUCUCAAUAAAUAAACUGGUUCAUAUUUCGGGAAACUCUGAUAAACUUGAGCAAGGAUGUACCACAGAGACAGCUGGCUCUUCAGGCUCGCAUAUAGCUUAUGAUUCAUCCAGGGCCCAGGAAAACUUUGAUACUUUCAAACCAGAAACUGAAACUGUGUUAGCUUGUGCUUUACAAGGAAGGGAUGGUAGGGUGAUCAGAGACACGGGAUCCCCCAGUUCACACAGAUUGGGGAAAGUGCAAGGCACGGCAGGAGAUGUAGUGCGAUCAAGUUUCAAUUCCGAACAUCUAGACUGGAGUCGUGAGGGACAGAAUUCAGGAGACAUUUCAACAAGCCUCAGACUGAAGGAGGAGGCGGCAGAAGCACUGGGUGGAUGGAGGGAGUGUGACAGUGAUAACCGGGAUUGGAUUGAUUAUGAUUCAUUAAGUGAAGGUAAGACUGGAUUUAUUGAUGAAUCUCCACCCAGAUUAGACUUGGUUGAUGACAAACAAAGUUGGCAUGUGGUGGAAAAUAUGGAAUCGUGUGAGAUGUCUGACCUAGGAUUCCAAGUUAUCGGUCGCCAUGAUGACAUGGAAUUAGCAAGCCAUAUUGAUGCUAUUUCCCCAGACACUCUUAACAAGGCUGACAAAUAUCCUGAUGAAACUCAUGGCACUGUCCUCUUGUAUGGAGAAAAGCAUUAUAGUCAAGUACAAGAAAACACCCCCAAUCCUGUACCCAUGUCACCUGACACAACACACAACAUCACAGGAUCACAAUCCUCCAAGGUUAUGUCAGCUACCCAAGGGGGUACAAAAUCUGCAGGAUUUGAGAUUGAAGUAAACUAUAAUGUCAGCACUGACCCACUUUGCAUGGAUGGAAAUAAACCUGAUAAGAGUUCCACUAAGAAAUGUGAUAGCCAAACCUGGGGUAGAAUGUGGAGUGCAAGAAGUGAUAAGCUUUCAGCAAGACUUCCUGGAAGAAGACUUGUCAUAGAUAAGAGAAAUUUGCACCCUGAAGGCUAUAAUGAAAACAUGCCUAUACAGAGAAGAAUUGUGUUAAACCCAGACUCCAAAGUUGAGACGAGGGAUCCCAAAUCAACUGGAUUGCCUGAACCUGUAACCCAGAACCACCCUCCUGAUAUUGGACUACAGUUGACUGUGUCAAGGGCUGAUGGGGAAAGUAUCAGCAAACCCACUAACAGACUACACACUUAUAAACCUGUCCACAAAUCUGAACUUUUGAAACAAAGCUCAGUAAGAAAAAGUUUAGCAGCUCGAGCUCAGCAGAAAGCCAUUACUUCAAGAUUUUCUCAAGACUCUGUGAAUAAAGUUAAAACAGGUAAUGUUUUGAUGAAAAAGGCUCUGCAAUCAGUGAGUGAUAAGACAGCCCCUGAAGACCACACCUCUACAGUGCCACAUGUGAGCUCCAUUGAAUUCAUGGUGAAAAAAGAUUGCCAAGCUCAGCCAAUGCUUCCUGUCAAGCAUGACAAGUCUGAGACAUUUAGUACCAAAUCUGAAGAAGAUAUUAAUGCAAGCGAUUGUGAAGUAACAAAUAUCACAAAUGAUGUGUGUUCUUCAAAGGACAGUGACAGUAUAAAUGAUGCCAAAGAAAUUGGAUUAAAUGCAGAAGAAGAUGUUAUUAUUGAGAGUAAAGACAAUGAUGGAAUCUUUGAAGCAGUGGUAGAGAGGAAGCAGGAAAGUGCUGUGACUGUUUCAGCCAGGUUACUAACAGCAGACGACAGUUUGCAGGUAGCAGACAACUCAUUACCCCUGGAAGCUAACGACAACACAUCACAAGCAGACGCCAUUGUGGAUAAGGCAGCUGUGCCUCUUAGACCAGACACAAUUUUCUCAUUGAUGGCAGAUGGCUGUUUGCAAACUGAAGAAGUUUGUACCCCUCUGAUGGAAAACAGCAAAUCUGCAAAAUCUGCACCACCAGUUGUAUCACCAAAACCAAAAGUAUCUGUCUCAGCUGAUGGAAAAAUUGACUUGAGCUAUUCUGAUGUGUCUCCAUGUUUUGUUACACCUGAUGAGCAAAUUGAUCCCAAGUCUGUGAUUAUAAUUCAGCAUGCUCAACCUUUUGAGUGUCUAACUACUGUCACAAGUAAUGAAUUUGAAUUUGAACCUCAUUCAAGUGAUGCACAAAAUUCUCCCACAGAGAGCUGCACUGAGCUGCUAGAUGGAGAAACCUCUGUAGUGACUGUCACAGAGAACUGUGUAACCGAAGAUGUCAUUAAUGAGGUACACUUUGUACCAAGCAGGGCUGACUCAGCUAGUACUGAGAGCAAAUUUGAUUACAAAUUGACAGUCAGUCCCUCACAAGCAGACGUGACCUCUACAGCCCCACCCAAGGAAGAAUCAAUAGACUUGUGUAGUGUUGACAAGUCAUCUGAAAUUUCUUCACCUGAGUGUCCGACAACUGAAACAGUGUCACAUGAAGCACUGAAACGAUCCACUGGAACAACAUCAUUACACCACUGGCAGACAGUCAAAAAUAAAUUCCUGAGUAAACCCUCAAAGAAAGUGAGCAAAGAGAAGGUGAACAUUGUACCGUCUGCUCAUGGGAGCGUGGAGAAAACCAUUGAAGAAUAUGAAGAAUGUUUAGACAAGAAGUUAAACACUGACUGGUGUAAAGACAAAACUGACGAAAAGUUUGUUGAAAGCUCACGUGUCUCUGAGAUCCGACGAUCACUCAGUGAAAGGCUGACCAAAUCCCCACUGCCUGAGACCCCACCUGCAACUCCCUCCCCAUCCCCAACCCGGAAAUACAAAUGGAUAAGAGGGGAAGGGGGGAUUUGGAAGAAAAAGUUUCUGUCCGACUCAGGGGAGAGUGGGAGUGAGUUUGAGGAUUCUGCAAGGGAAGAUCAAGAGGAGGUCCUUAUAAAAUUAACACAAGGAAAUAGACAUGAAAGAAAUAUUGACAGAGAAUCUUCAUCUGAAUAUGAAUAUAAACCUGACAAUGAAAUGGAAACAUCGGCAUCAGAAGUUGAAGACCUGGAUAUGAUUGAACAUUCUGUGAAUGUGGACAGAUGGGGGAAGUGUGGAGACAAUGUAGUGAUGGAGAAAUCUGUAGAUGUGGAUGAUAAUGAUGGUGUUUGUGUAGAAAAAGUGGAUUUUGAGACUGCAAGGUCACAUUUUAAUGAAAAACUGGGAGUACCUUGUUUGAGUAGAAGAAAAAGCAGCACUGAAAAUGUGGAAAGGCAAAUGUAUGAUAGACUUCAGAACAAAUCUCUAGCUGUUCCUGAGACAGAUAAAGAUUCUACUUGCCAAAUGAAUGAAAAUAAAUUAUCUGAGUCUAUAUUUGACAAAGUCAACACCUUAGAUGCAGACUGUGGGAAUGUUAAUAUGCAUACUGUUAUUAAUAUGGAUACCACACAUGGACAGGCAUCAAAUAUGGAUCUGAAGUGUGAGAAAAUAGACCCAGAAGUAGACAAAUGCAUGAAAUUGUCUGCUGACAGUAGUGAAAGUGUUUCCUCAGUCACUACUGCAGAUGUUAUAAUGAAAGCUGGUGCUGACAGCAUGGACAAACUGUGUGAGUCCACCUCGGAAGUGUUCCUUUCAGCUACUAGUGAGGACAAGGAGAAACCUUGUGUGGUUAUCAUGGUGCCACAGGACUCAACACUGGAGCAAGCGAGCAUGGAUGUAAACACGGACAUUAGUAUUACUGAUUCUGCUGUGUAUGUUACCAUAGGCGACGAGGAACCUAUGAGCAACCUUGACAACAGAACUUUACUUGAUGGGACUUUCACAGAUCAAGAAGAAAUGCAAAUGCAUACUUGUGUGUAUGAUAAAUUCAGUAUAACUGACUCUGGAUUUAAUGAAGACUCUACCAGCUUAGACUUUCACAGUCACAGAGACACUGCCAGUACUGAGAGUGACAAAUGUAUGAUCGCUGUAAGUGAAGUGAGGGUGUCUGAGUUGAGUGCAGACAUAAUAAGUGAUGCUACAAAUGGAAGUUUAAAGGAUACUUGUGCUGGUGAUAUCUCCCAGAUAGAUUGUCAAGAUGAGCAAUAUGACAGAUCCCACAUGCAAACAAUCAUUGUGUCAGAUGAACAAGUUUCAAGUAAUGUUUCUGACCAUGAAGACCAGCAAGAUGCUAACAAAACUGUCGUCCUGUCUGAGAUUGAGGGAAAGUUUAUUCCCAUAGAGGCGUCCCCCAUUUUGCAAAAAAUGUGUGUGGAGUCAAAUUCUGGUGAAGAGUCUGAGGAUCAGGUUUCACUCUCAGCUGCACCAAGUUCAGAAAACAUCAGCAUUUCCCCAGCUUGUGUCCCCAAGCAAGACAGUGUCAUUGGGGGAGAGGCGGCAGAGCAGCAGCUCUCUGAAACAUGGGACACAGAAUCAGAACACUCUUAUUACUAUGGAUAUGAGAAUACGGAUAAUACAUGUGGGGAUGAAGACUUGGAUACCACAGUGACAGAUGAUGAAACAGAAGACUUAUGUGAGCUUGUUAUUACUGAAGACUUGGACACAACAGUGGUUGGCGUCCAAGGAGAGGAGACAGUGGAUUUACACAUAGAGGAGGACAGCGUUGCUACGCCUGUGUUGGCACCCCCAGGUCACGUUGACAUGGCGUACUCUCCACGUAGAGGGGCUGGACGUAGAUAUUCCUAUGCUGGGUCCACAGUCAACCACAGUGCUGUGUCAGGGUCAAGUCUGCCAGAUGUCUCUGAAAGUGGAUACUGGAACACACGAAAGGCUUUCUGGGAAAAAGACUCAAGGGAGCUCCUGGCAGAGAUCUCAGAACUCGAGGAAAGUUUUGAGGCUGUAGAGGGCACUGAGACGGAACAGCAUCGAAGUGCUUCUGCUAGUCCUGUCAAAGUUGCUGAACAGCCAGGGGGGACAACUCCACGGCGGUUGCAUAGGAAGAAGUCAGGACGUCGUAGUUUGAGUCUUCCAAGUGGGACUUUGUCGUAUGGGGAUGUCAAAAUCACAUAUGUUGAUGGACACUUUGUGGCAGAGCCACCUAGUGCUGAACCAGAGACAAUCCCUCAACCCUACACUGGAAGUGAGAGUGCCACUGUCAGCACCGGAGGUGUACCAGCUACAAGCUCCGAGUCAGUCACUGAUGUGAACAGCAACGAAGACACUCUAUCCAUUCUGUCAGACCUGUCCAUAAGAGAUGAACUGUUGUCCUUGUUAAACCAGCAUUUAGUGGAUAGUGAUGUGUUCUACAAUCAACCGCUGGACUGGAACUGUAACCAUGUGGGGAGUGACUCCUCCUCACAUUCUAGUCAGAGCAGUCUGGCUAUGAUGCCGGCAUCGUCCACAUUACCACGGAGAACCGGUCGUGACAAUGACGGAAAUCGUCCAGUUUCUGUAGAUGAUAUACAGUUAUUUAGAAAUGCAUAUCUACAAGAACAGUGUGAAGGUCAAGGUGACAAUGAAGGUCAAAGUCACACAAGGAACUACAGUUUCCGAGAAGCUGUAAAUCAGGACUUAUUGUUGUCUGAUCCCAGGAAUGGUCGGAGAAGGCUCUCUGUUCAAGACGAUAAAAGUGAGAGAUCAAGAUCAAAAAGUCCAAACUUUUUCCAAAGAAUGUUGUCUAAGCGAAAAUCAUUCUCAGAAAAAGUGGCAAAACUACCUCAAGAUGAGGGAACAUCCAGAAAAGACACUUCGAUAGUAAGACGUAUGUCAUUAAAAAGUUUGUUCAAACGAAAAACACGGAAAGGUUCAGAUGAACCGGACAGUCCGCCAAUUGCAGCUUUCCUUAAAGAUGAAGACAUCGGUGCUAUCAGUUCAUUACCAAACUCUCCAUUUGUGUCAAAACGUGUACAGAGAGUACAAACAGACCCACACAUACAGAUUCGAAGGCCAGUUCAAAGAUGUCCUGAUGAAUCUCAGUCAAGCAUGAAAUCACCACCCCUCAGCCAAUCAAUCACCAGGAGUGGCUCCAGGCCUGGUCUAACUCGACCAGACGUUCCACCCAGGCGAAGACAGAGCUCUUCGGGCUCCAUGAAGCAAGGUUCAUUACCAGAUAGGAGUUCUGGAGAAUACAGUAUAUGUGAGUUUGACAUAGGAGCAGAUGAUACACUUACACCACGAUCUUCGUCUCCGUCCAUAGUUGACAGUGAGCGGGACGCCACACUCCCUGCAUCUCCACAUUCUGGGGACUUUGUCCAAUCUGUUGCGGUGCAUCCAAAUAGGUUGAAUCCUCGGCGUGAUCAGAUGUCCCCCCCAGGAAUUUGAAAAACUGUCAGGAAAACUUGUACGAGGGGAGAUAACUUCAAGCAACAGCAAUGACAGUGGAAUACAACAUGAUGCUGUUAUAUUGUCCAGCUGUGAAUCCCUCAAGGUAUCCCCCGACACGGCCACGCCCAUCAACAUGCCAGUGAAGCUGAGGAAAACACCUUCACCGAAGCAGGAACGUCCUAAAUCGGACAUCACAGUGCGCUGGGCAGACCUCCUGGAGCAGGUGAGGGAGACCAACGU